rnacentral:rRNA from 1 species
CAGUAGCCGCGGUAAUACGUAGGGUGCAAGCGUUAAUCGGAAUUACUGGGCGUAAAGCGUGCGCAGGCGGUUAUAUAAGACAGAUGUGAAAUCCCCGGGCUCAACCUGGGAACUGCAUUUGUGACUGUAUAGCUAGAGUACGGCAGAGGGGGAUGGAAUUCCGCGUGUAGCAGUGAAAUGCGUAGAUAUGCGGAGGAACACCGAUGGCGAAGGCAAUCCCCUGGGCCUGUACUGACGCUCAUGCACGAAAGCGUGGGGAGCAAACAGGAUUAGAUACCCGUGUAGUCCAUGUCUCUUAUAC